rnacentral:lncRNA from 1 species
UUAUACAUCGAUAGUAUUCACUCCUUGAUAUAAUAGAACAUAAAUAGGGGUAAUUUCUCUAAUCGGGCCAGAAAUUCCCCUCACACAAAUACGCACACCCGUGCACAUAACUAGAAUUGCAAGAACGAAGGAAUCCACGAAUGCAAAGGUCGCUACGUGAUGUAUCGUCUAAUUCUGACCGCUGGGGAGCACCACGUCCAAAACUGUUGGGCCGACGUCCCCGGUGACGUCGUCCUUGAGUACUGAAAUCACACCGUACGAAAACCCAAGAAGUGUGCAAACUACAGGAUCAAGAAUCAGGGCGCCGAUCUUAGCGCCAGUCAUGGUACACGCAGUCACCUUGCAGGCAUGUCUGGUAAAAUUCUUUAGCUUCGCUUUGAAUAUCUGGCGCUUCGCUCUGCGUUCCUCCUUCGACUUUACCAUCCUAGUGUUGUAAUCCUGCUUAUUGACAUGUAAGAAAUUAGUGCUUGUAGUCUAAUAGGGAAGGGGAUGAAUUAGGUAAACUUAAAACCUUAAACUUAUGGUUUCCACUAUUUGCAUCAAAAAUAUAAGAUAGAAUAAUCGGUGCUCGUAGCCUAAGAGGGCGAGUGGGUGAAUUAGGAAUCUCUAGAUUUUCUCUGUUAUUUGGAUGCUUAAAUACCAUAGAAUAAUCCUAGAUAUCAUGGUUUGGUCAAUUGAAUACCAUAGCUUGGAUACUUGAAUACAUAACUUGGAUAUAGCUUGGAUACUUAAAUACCAUGAUUUGGACCUUGCCAUGGUUUGGUUUGCAUACUUAGAAUAAAAAAUCUAGAAGGCACAUACUUAACAAACCAUUAAUCCUAAUAACUAUGUUGUCACUCAAUCACUAAAAUCACAAACUAUAAUCUAAUAUGGCCAUGUUCGCUACAAACAAUAAAGUGGAGGUCAGCCCAAACUAAUCAGUAGUGCUAAUAAUAAAGUGAACAAUAGAAAAUUACAAAAAACCACAAAAUAUUGUUUAGAGUUUGAGAAUUUUUUUCGUGGCCAUGAAAUAGCUCGUUUUCAUGAACAGAGAACUGGAGUUCUGAGAUAAUUUCCGACUUAUAUGUUAGGAUAUAAAUGGCCACUCAUACUCAGCUUUGUUGCAAAACCAUGACGCGCGCCUGUUUUCGCCAGGUCAAGCUUCUUAAAUCGGAUUAGACCCAUUCAUCGAUAAUUUUUAAAUAGUGAAACUAGACGGAUAAUGUUUAAUCUCUCAUUAACAUUUAAAGUAUGAAACUGUCUAACUUCAACUACACUAGCAUUUGCAUAUCAAUAAAACGAGCUGAAUUCUUUAAGCAUCAUGUGCGUAAUGGGAUGGUUAUGCAGGAAAGCAAGAUAGGAACAUCUCCGAAAUGAAAGAACAAAAAAAAAGUGCUGUGCUGUACUUACUUAGUAGCAGUGAUCUCUUCGUGUUCCUUUUGGACGAUUCCCCUAGCAGUUGCCUUCUCGAGAAUCAGCUCGCAUGCAACGUUGCACAUCGAGCAAGCUCGCUGCUAUAUUUAUGGUGUAAAACAUGCUGCGUGGCAGAUCGAGAACAAACGACAAAUUAAGAAACUGGAGCCUUUCCUCUCUUCUUCCUGCACACGCUCCCAACGCGUCCUGGUCCUAACUCUUCGUCGCCGAGCUGCUCCGCGUCGGGGUUUUACGCGGUCGUCUCUAUGAAACCAGUUUAGCACCUGUCACAUUAGAUGUUUGGAUGCUAAUUAAGACUAUUAAAUAUAGACUAAUUACAAAACUAAUUGCACAGAUAGAGUCUAAUUCGCGAGACGAAUCUAUUAAGCCUAAUUAGUCCAUGAUUUGACAAUGUGGUGCUAUAGUAACCGUUUGCUAAUGAUGGAUUAAUUAGGCUUAAUAGAUUCAACUCACGAAUCAGCACAGGUUUCUGUAAUUAGUUUUAUAUAAUUAGCUCAUAUUUAGUCUUCCUAAUUAGCAUCCGAACAUCCGAUGUGACACUGCUAAAGUUUAGCAUCUUGUAUCUAAACAUCCCUUAAUUGAUUUUGCUUUGACGAGGCAAGUGUGACAACCACAGCAUGAAUCUCACCGGAAAUAGCAGAAAAGUCAGCGUCUGCAAAUUGUUCGAGUCACCGAUACCUAUUUUCCACAUGAUUGGGAAAUCAGGUUACGUACAUUCAUUUUAGAUGAUGGAGAUUACUAAUUCUAUUGUUUAACAAAUUUUAGUAAAGAAGAAUUAAUAAAAGUGGUGCUCCCAUUUCGCCUGAACUAAUAGAAGAAGAAUUAAUAGGUCGUUACAAAACAGAAAAGAAAACACAUCAUCAACUGUUAUGACCAUCUAAGGGUCUAAGGUCCUAUUUGUUUGAGUUUUCUAGCAACUUCUUAGCGUGAAAAAGUUAGAAGCUCAACAAACAGCAAAUUUUUCAUGCAGCUUCUGAAAAGCUGGAAAUUCAGAAAAGCUGAGUUUAUAUGGAAAGCUGGAAAGCUCAAUUUUAUAUGUUUUCUCGUAGCUUUUUGAGCUCAUAAAUUCUAUAAUCUAGUAUUGGCUUUUAAAAAAAAAAGAUAGCAGCAGCUUUACAGACUGACUUUUUUUAUUUUUUAGCCCUUUUUGUGAAAUAUUCUCACAAAUACACCCCUGGCGGAACCAUUUCAAAAUCUGGACCCUUAGCUUGGCGCCAGCGUGGAUGGCGUCAAGCUAAGGGUCCAGAUUUUAAAAUGGUUUCGCUAGGGGCGUAUUUGUGAGAAUCUUUCGAAAAAAGGCUAAAAAACAAAAAAGACAGCUUUACAGAAAAGGUUAAAAGGUGCCGCUUAAACAAAAAGAUCCUAAACUCUAAACUAAACCAAAGAAUACAUGACAAAAGUAAUUAGUAAAUAACUAAAUAUGAAAGUUAGGAACUACAUAAAAUUAGUAGUUUUUUCUCCAGAAUUAAAUUACUAUUUCGAAUUCAUAGUUUGUUACCGAGGCAAGCUUCACUUUUAUUGACCUAUUUUUCGGUAACUUGACGUUUUUUCAUUUUUCAAAGUUCGUUCCACCAAAGAAACAAAAAAAACUAAGGAAAGUGUAUUUGUAUUCCAACGUAAGAAGAACCUUUCCAUCGAUCCACAGUCCACAUCAAGUCAAAGGGUACACAAACUUACCGCCAAGCCACCCAGGGUUACGGCGUCCACUAUGUGCUCCAAAACUUUAAGUGAUAUGAAUUCACAGUACAAAGGUAGCGUUUGGACUUAUUCUUUUUUUAAACUAUAAAAGAAUAGCAGAUGGUCACUGAAUUUAACCAAAAGCACAAAACUAACCCAUAUAUGACAGAUAUAUGGGUGACAUGUUUUUGUAUAUCUGACUUGUGAUGGGUCUAAAUGGACUGUCUCACCGAUUAUGAUAAUGGAGACGCGGAUUGUGAAAUUCCUAUCUUAUAUGGUGGAUAUUGGAGACGCGGAUUGUCAAAUCCCCGUCUCGGAUGAUGGGAUAUUGGAAACGCGGAUGGUCUAAUAAUCCCCAUUUGACGGAUGCUGAAGACGCGGAUUAUUAUCAAAUUCUCGUCUCGGAUGACGGAUAUUGGUGAUGGCGUUUUCCCCAUCUCCAACUUAACUUACAUUGGAGAUGCAAAUUUGGAGACGUGUUUUAAUUCUUUUCUGUCUCCAAUUAGCAUCGGGAGCUAUCUUCAAUUACAGUAUUUUGACGUAGGGGUGUUUGGAUCCUGGAGCUAAAGUUUAGUCCGUGUCACAUCGAAUAUUCGAAUGCUAAUUAGGAGGACUAGACAUAAGCUAAUUACAAAACUAAUUGCAGAACCCCUAGGCUAAAUCGCGAGACGAAUCCUAUUAAGCCUAAUUAAUCAAUCAUUAGCGAAUGUUUACUGUAGCACCAUAUUGUCAAAUCAUGGACUAAUUAGGCUUAAUAGAUUCGUCUCGCGAUUUAGCCUAGGGGUUGUGAAAUUGGUUUUGUAAUUAGUCUAUGUUUAAUACUCCUAAUUAGUGUCCAAACAUUCGAUGUGACAGGGGCUAAAAAUUAGCCCGGGGAUGAAACACCCCCGUAGUGUGGGGUCCUUCCCGUGUGGAUCCAACUGACCGUGUGGAGAUCUGAUCCUGGCAUUAAACAAAGGCGACUGCGUGGAAGUCUACUCGUGCGUGCUGGUUGAACUUUCUCCCCAUGGAAUGGGACAACACCAUGCACGGCUAGUGUGCAACUUCCGCGGAAUGGCAAAUAAUGCAUGGCUGACUCAGGUCCGAUCGAGCUCACCAUGAUCCGUCCAUGUCUCCCCGAGGCAAAGCAGGAAGCUCGAUCGUUGAAAAGUCGCCAACGCCUCGUCGUAUUGAUAGGCGACUGCAGAAGUCUGAAGACGUAACCAGGCGACAGUACGACUGCCGCGCGGGAGAGAAUACGAAUGUGCACAAGUCAUUUUUAGAAAAUACUAUAAAUACAUACUGCUACGAUAUCAUUUUAGGGUGAAUUUGUAUUUAACGACCAAGAAUUUGGAGAUCGUCUUGAGCUCGGGUUUGGCCUUUGACGUACAUGCAUUCUAAGUAGCAUGUAUUAUGUAAAAUAUCAGCAGUAGACAAUUACUAAUAGAGAACUCACCUUCCAUCCAACCCCCUUCGGUCCCCGAUAUUUUUGGACUCGGGAUGAAAGGAUCUUUAGUCCCGGUUGAUAUUAUCAACCGGGAGUAUGUUGUAACGGCUAGUAGGACGAGGGAAUCUGGUGGGACUGUCCCAGUUGGUGUUACCAGACACCAACUGGGACUAAACGUGCAUCCUGUAAAAUCCUCUUCUUCCUCCCUGAGCCCGAGCCACUCCACCAGAGAGCUCGAGCUCUCCUUCUCUCCAUGGCGAACAAGCAAGUUUAGGGAGGUACUGCCUGAUUUUUUUUCAUCAAUUUCGCGAGGAUUUCACCCAUCCAAAGUGUUAUAAAGGUUAGCUACUUCAUCCUCCCUUCAUUUAUUGUUAUUAUACUUUGUUUUAUGCUUUAGAGAUAGAGAAAAAUGAGUUUUUUAGAAUGAGGUAGAAUGGAGAUGAUUUUUUGUUUAUACAUGUUUUUGAGAUAGAAUUUGAUGGAUGAUAGCUUGCUUGUUAUAUACGAUUCAUAUUAGAUAAAGAACUUAAUCAAUAUUAGGUAUGAGAAAAAAUAUAGUAAAUAUGUUUUAAUAUUUAGUCCUUGCAAUAAAAUUGAGGUAAAUAAAUAGCCCUUGCAAUAAAAUUAGGUAAAUAAAUAGUUUGCAUGUUAAAUUAGAGAACCCACCCACCGGUCAACUUUAUGCUAGAAUUGUUUUUAUCUUUACAAAGGUUGAUAGGUGUAAAUUCAUGUUUAUUAUAGGGACUAAAUAUUAAGUACUUUAUCCAAUAAGACGACUUAUGUCCAUUAUUCACGUAAUACGAUGCAGAUGGAUCCUCAAUGGAUGUACAACGUGGAUAGACAGACCAAGGAGUUCGUUGAUGGCUUGCAUUAUUUUCUCGAAGAGCCAAAGCCAACAAGCUAGAGAAGGGAUUCAUAUGUUGUCCAUGCUUCCAAUGCAGAAACGACAAGGACUACUCUUUAUGGGGAACUCUUCACAGCCACUUGUUUAGAUACGGUUUCGUACCUAACUAUUUGGUUUGGACCAAGCACGACGAAAGAGGGGUUAGAAUGGAAGACGGCGAAAAGAGGACGAGGAUACACAUUCCGGACUGGGCUGCAGGACAAGCUUUUGCAGAUACUGUAAUGGGCGAGCCUGAUGAAGAAGAGUCUGCAGAAGACAGCCGUACUGAUGAUCUGGUCAUCUGGUCAGGUGCUAGGGAUGCAUAGAAAGACUACGAAACUGAGAAGGAAUCAGCAAAGUUGCAGCAUAUGAUAGAUUAUCAUAAAAAAUUGUUGUACCCAGAUUGCAAGCAGGGGCAUAAAAAGCUGGGUAGCACACUGGAAAUGCUGCAAUGGAAGACAAAAAAUAGUGUGUCUUAUAAGGCAUUUCAGGGGAUACUAAAAAUUGUAAAGAACAUGCUUCCUGAGAAUAAUGAAUUGCCAUCUACAACAUAUGAAGCGAAAUAGGUUGUUUGCCCUCUAGGAUUGGAGGUUCAAAAGAUACGUGCAUGCCCUAAUCACUAUAUCCUCUAUCACGGUGAGGAAUAAAAGACAUUGGAUACUUGUCCUGUCUGCAAAGCCCUACGGUAUAAAAUCAGGCGAGAAGAUCCUAGUAAUCUCAAGGAGCAGCCUCCUAAGAAGAGAGUUCCCAUGAAGGUGAUAUGGUAUUUCCCUAUAAUACCACGUUUGAAACAUUUGUUCAGAAAUAAGGGAAUACUAAGUUGCUAUGACGGCACAAAGAAGAACGUAAGUAAGAUGACAUGAUGAGACACCCCGCUGAUGGGUCCCAGUGGAGAUCAAUUGAUAGAGAAUUCCCAGACUUCGAAAGGGAUGUAAGGAACAUAAGGUUUGGUUUAACUACGGAUGGUUUCAAUUGAUACGGCGAGUUUAGUAGUGGUUAUAGUACUUGGCCUGUGACCCUAUGUAUGUUCAACCUUCCUCCUUGGAUGUGCAUGAAGCGGAAGUUCAUUAUGAUACCGGUGCUUAUCCAAGGUCCAAAACAACUCGACAAUGACAUUGAUGUGUAUCUAAUGAACAAAGUGUACGCGUGUGGGAUGAGGAUAAACAAGAGAGCUUCAACCUACGAGCAUUGUUGUUCGUAACCAUCAAUAAUUGGCCUGUGCUGAGUAACCAUUUAGGAUAGACAGACAUGGGAUAUCGAGCCUGCACCCACUGUUUAGACGAAAUAGACAACAUGUAUUUGAAACACUGUAGGAAGGUUGUGUAUAUGGGUCAUCGUCGAUUUCUUCCUGCUAACCACCCCUUAUGAAAGGAAGGGAAGCAUUUUCAAAGGGGCUGCAGGUCGUCGUAAAAGGUCUGCACACCGUAAUGGAAAGCGUGUAUUUGAGAUGAUAAAGGAUGUAAUGGUAAUCUUUGGAAAGGGUUGAGGUAGCGAACCUGCUCCGAACGACGAUAACGAAUGUGCACCCAUGUGGAAGAAGAAGUCUAUUGUAGGAGCUACCUUAUUGGGAAAUCCUAGAGGUCCGCAAUGCAAUUGACGUGAUGCACCUAACGAAGAAUCUUUGCGUGAACAUGCUAGGCUUAAUGGGUUGUUAUGGGAACUCAAAAGAUACAUUGGAAGCACGAUAGGACCUGAAAUGUAUGAAGCAACAAGAUGACCUACAUGCGGAAAAGAGGGAUAAAGGACAGAACUACUUACAUCCUGCCAGUUACACUCUCUGCAAAGAAGAGAAGGAUAGCAUGUUUGAUUGCAUGAAUAGUAUCAAGGUUCCAUCUAAGUUCUCCUCAAAUAUAAAGAGAAUAAUAAAUAUGAAAGAAAAGAAGUUCAUAAAUCUAAAGGCCCAUGACUGCCACAUGUUGAUGACACAGUUGCUUCCGGUUGCGCUGAGGGGUGUUCUACCGGAGAAUGUACGAUUGACACUCGUAAAGCUUUGCACGUUUCUCAAUGCGACUUCGCAAAAGGCAAUCUAUCCAACCAAGUUAAUAACGCUACAGAAGAAUGUGGUACAAUGUCUUGUCAGCUUUGAGUUGGUAUUUCUACCAUCCUUUUUUAAUAUUAUGACGCAUAUCCUGGUUUCAGCACUGAUAGUGAUUUGUUCCAUAAAGCACAAUGAUAGUGAUUUGUUCCAUAAAGCACACUUCACGGUUCUGCAAAAAUCAUCCUUGGUGGCUCCGUAUAUCGAGGAAUACAAGCAGAUUCUAUGUUUCUAAUACCCAACACAAACUGAUGCCUGGAUUAUACGUCAUCACAUGGAUACUUUUCCAUCUUGGUUGCAUCAACACCUUAUGGGUAACUCCUCGAUUCACGAUUGUUAGAUUUUGAGGUCUGGUAGUCCACCAGGGGGUUGAUUUGUAGGCAGGGAGGAUUGCGAGACCAAGAACUUGAAGGUGAUCGCGAUAACACAAAGGGUUUUAGACAGGUUUGGGCCUCCGGAGAGUAAUACCCUACAUCCUGUGUUUUGUUGGAUUAUAUUGCUUUGUGCUGGUGCAAAUAGAUUGGAUUGGUUCGAGGUGCCAUCGGGAGGCACCCUUAGCCGCCUUAUAUAGGCUGACGACCGAGGGUUAUAAGUCGAUUUGAAUCUAAUCUAGUUAGUUGUUACAUGGAAAUCUAUAUUAGUCGGAUUACAACUCGUAUCAUGCAAUAUCUGGGCUGAUUUGAAUCACCUGACCUUCCUUGAUGUGUACUCCAAGUAUCUUCAUGUCCUUGGCCCGCACGUUCUGGUCCGUCAGGCCCGCUUGUCAGGGUCGGCCAGUAUCCUGUUCGGUGGAACCCGUGGGGUAUCCAUAUACCUCAAGCCUUUGAGCGAUGUGUAGGCGCACAAGAGCUUCACGGUGUCACGGCAAAGCUUGUGAAGUAGUCGGUUAAAGUUGUGGUGGCAUCAUAGUGAUGGAGAGGCUGUGCAGGGCUCGAAAUGAAGAAAGAUUGGGUCCCAAAAAUAGGUUCUAGUGCCUGAGUACAAGGACAGGUGAAGCCACAAAGGCACGUCGAGCAGAAAUAGGCACCCAGCCCCUGAGCAUGAGGGCUGGCAGGGCCGCGGAGGCACACCGACCUGAAAUAGAAGCAUAGCCCCUGAUCGUGAGGGCUGGCAAAGCCACAAAGUCACGUCGAGUCACCUCCUGCCCUGAGCUAGAGAGGUCGGCUAGGUGACGGGAGGCACGCAGAGUCGUCUGUGGUGGGCAUCCACCGAUUCAACGAGCCGGACGAGUCACAGAAGCACGCCAAGUCGCCUUCCACCCUGAGCCGAAAAGGUCGGCCGGGCGAUGGGAGGCACGUCGAGUCAUCUGCGGUGCCCAGCCCCUGAACCUGGGAGCCGAACAAGUCUUCAAAGAACGUCAAGUCACCUCCCGCCUUGAGCCAGAGAGGUCGUCUAGGGGAUGGGAAGCACACCGAGUCAUCUAGUGCCCAUCCCCAAGCCUAGUGGCCGGAUGAGCUGCAGAAGUACGCCGAGUCGCCUCCCACCCCAAGCCAGACAGGUCGGCCAAGCAGUGGGAGGCACAUCGAGUCAUCUGUGGCGGGCAGCCACCAAGCCUACGAGCUGGAUGGGUCACAGAAGCACGCCAAGUCGCCUCCCACCCUAAUCCAACAUGGUCGUUCGGGAGAUGGGAGGCACACCGAGUCGUCUGCAGCGCCCAGCCCCCGAGCCUGGGAGCCGGCCGAGCCACAGAAGCACCCACUGAGGCUAUGGUCGAGAAGCUGGACUUAUAAAAACUGUAUUGUGUAUCAAUCUGUGUCAUGAAACAAGUAAUGUAGAUGUAGUAAAAUGUCAUAUGGUGAAAAAGUGGUCUCCAUCCCUCCUUUGGUUGAUAUGACAGGACAUCGUAUGGCUGAGGCCUGUAGCCGCUAAGCGCCCAGCUCCACCUGACCAGCAUUCUGCUGAGAGCGGAUCUCGAGCUUGUAGAAGGGGUGAACAUAGGGUUGUCUGGGUUUCAUGAGCUAGGACGCCAACCACAUGUAUUAGUCAUAUUGCCGCAGGAGGGACAGGAAAAAAAGCGGGAUCCAGAGGUGGGCGCUUGGGGGAAGCCCCCGAGCUUGAGAGCAAAUGGGCUAUUGAACAGGUUGGAUAGCCUCCCGAGCGUCAGGAAUGGCUCGGGCAACAGGAAGGCAGUAGGUACACAAAUAAUCUCUAAGGUUUUAUUUAUUCAAUAUAAAAGGUAUAAGGAGUAUGUAGCUUUUAAGUUCUAGGGGUAGCAGCUGUUGGAUGUUCCAUGGGUUGGGGAUGCCUGAGUUGUCCACCCACUGCAGCCGGUAAGUGCCGAGUUGGAUGACCGGUGAAGCCGCGGAGGCACGUCGAGUCGCCUCCCGGCCCAAGCCAAAGAAGUCGGCCAGGCGAUGGGAGGUACGCCGAGUAGCUUGGGAGGUUGGCUGAACGACAGGAGGCACGCCGAGUCAAUUUUUUCACUGUAAAAGCACAAUACAAAGAUUAUAUAGCAUAAUGUAGAAUAUUUAAUAAUUAAACAACUCAGAAGUUGAAUUCACUGUAGAAGUAAAUUCUUGCACGUCCUACUCUUGUAGGUCGGGUAAUUUCCCCGGGUAGUUAAUCUGUUACGUUUAAGCACCUAGCUCUACUGACCACUGCUCAUGAAGAGGACGACUUAUCUCAGGCUCUAGCACUGGGGCUGACCCGAUGCUUGCAUAUAUGAGACAUGCAGGAUGAGUCAAGGUUUCAUGAAUUAAGGCGUGUGCUACCCGAGUACUUCAGCAACCAUUAAGAGAAGAAGUCCAAGACAUGAAGGAGAUUGCAAAGUAGUUGGAACUAUGCAGAAAAGCAGUAGCAUGAGCUGGGCACCCGUGGGGUGUAGCCCCCAACCACCCGUGUAGUGGAUGGACCAAGCUAUCAGGGUGCAACCAAGGUGGUCAGCGAAUGUCAUGGAGACACCGAGGAGCCGAGGCGCAUGUAGGUAUAUGGAAGCUGUAAAAUAUUUAAUUGAAUAUAUGAGAUAGCUUGGUUUGUUGUCGAGUUAUGGAAUAAGCGCCUCACAUACGUGCUUAGAAGGCCCAAGGCGCCAUCGGCUGUAGGGGCAGUAGGCCGUCUCAUCGAUGCCGCCUCCGACGUACCGGGAAUGCAAGAGGUGGCAGGUUGCACGCAUAAAGAAAUAAUAAAUUCAUAUUAAACUUCGUUAGCCAGUAGAGGAAAUAGUUAGAGACUAAAGUAUCUGCUGGCAAACUUAAAUAAGAAAAUUAGAAAUAAGAAAAAGGAAAGUGCAAUGCUCCUGCACCAUGUAUUCCAAUCUAGAGGUGACCAAGUUUGGCUCUUGACGCACGCGCGUCACAAGGGAAGACGCCACAGCAAAAUUUAAUCAAGGCAACAUGCAAUGAAAACUUGAUCUCCUGUUGAUCUGCCUGAAAGUAGUACAACAGCUCUACGGGAUAACAGUAGUAGGCCUUCUUCCUUGUUUAAUCUAAUCAGGACUCGGGAGUCCCGACCGAAUAGAUUGAUCUGGAUGCCCACCAAACGAGCGGCACGUCAUCGCUGACCAGUGUAGAUGCAUUGAAAAAUAGUCGAGUAGUGCUGGCCAGGAUCAGAUUGAUCUGCAACUAUUAAAACUCACCCAGCUUUCAGGUUCGAGGACGUGGGUGGGUGGGCAUUUGCGAGGAAAUCCUUCAUGCUCUUGGGGAAGAUGAUGCCGGGGCGGGAUGCCAUCAAGCUCGCUGGGGAGGAUCUCACAAUCCUCCUACCUGGCACGCCAACUGUUGGAUUUUGAGGUCCGGCAGUCCACCAGGGGGUUACCCAUGCAGUUGAUUUGUAGGCAGUAACGAUUGUGAGACCAAGAACUCGAAGGUGAUCGUAAGAACACGAAGGGUUUUAGACAGGUUCGGACCUCUAGAGAGUAAUACCCUAUGUCCUGUGUUUUGCUGGAUUGUAUUGCUUUGUGCUGGUGCGAAUAGAUUGGAUCGGUUCGAGGUGCCCUCAGGAGGCGCCCCUGGCCGCCUUAUAUAGGCUGACGACCAAGGGUUACAAGUUGGUUUGAAUCUAAUCUAGUUGGUUGUUACAUGAAAAUCUAUCUGAGUCAGAUUACAACUCGUAUCCCGCAAUAUCCGGGCUGAUUUGAAUCACCCGACCUUCCUUGACGUGUACUCCAAGUAUCUUCAUGUCCUUGGCCCGCACGUUUUGGUCGGUCGGGCCCUCUUGUCAAGGCCGACCAGUAUCCUUGUCGAUGGGACCCAUGGGCUACCCAUAUUCCUCAAUGAAUAACUUGCUUGGUCAGCUUUGGGACCUUCUAGCACAAUUGUGAAAUUAGACCAAAAAAGCACCAACCAAAAUAGUGGUGUCCGUAUAGAUGCUAUAGACAGCAACGGGAGCAAGGACUCGUAUUAUUGUUUCAUAGAGGAGAUACGGGAACUCGACUAUGGGCCGCUGAACCCUCUAUUUCGUUGCCAAUGGGUGAAGCUGACUGGAGGUGGUGUCAUGAAAGAUCAGUACGGAAUGACAAUAGUGGACCUGACCAUGACUGGAUACAAAGGUGAACCAUUCGUCCUUGCCAAUGAUGUGCAUCAGGUUUUCUAUGUGAAGGACAUAUUUAGCAAACCUAAAAGUAAUUCAGAAGAUAAAGAAAAAUUAGGUUAGCCAAAAUGCCACAUAGUUGUUCCAAGUAAAAGAGUAAUCGUGGGAGUCGAGGACAAAACAAACCAGUUAGAUUAUUAUGAUCAGUUUGAUGGCAUGCCUCCAUUCGCUGUCGAAGUUGACCCAAGCAUCAUGCUAGCCAAAGAAGAGGUUCUGUACUUACACCUCAAUCAUGACCAAAGAACUUUCAUCAAGAAGAAGUUUUUUAACGUUACAUUGUAAUGCUCUAUGGUCAACCUUUAUGUAAUGCUCUAUGGUCAACUCAUUUAUGUAAUGCAUUGGACCUUAGUUUUUGCAAUGUAAUGCUAUGUGGUCAACUUAUUUAUGUAAAUCAUCCUUUAUGUGAGAAGCUGUAGAGAGGAGAAUAGAUGUGAAUAUGGAUUGGUGGCUGCUACCAUAAAUAACACAAAUCAGCGCAGUGCCGUCACUGCCAUUAAGUACCACCCUUAAUUUUUGCGUGUUUAAAAUUAUUUAAUACAAGAGUUUGUUGAUAAUUGAUACAUUAAAAUAAUUAGUAUAGAAAUAUAAUAAACUAGUAUAGAAUUAAUAACUGAUUCAAUGAUAUUUUAAAUAUACUUGCUCAUUUAAUAUAGUUUUGCAUGUGAAAAAUAUGUAAAAUUUUUAUUUUUCAUUAACAACAUUAGUACAAAACAACUUAAAACAUGUAUAAAUUAAAUCUACGAAAUCAAUUGCAGCAUUAGGGGGAAACGAAAAGGAGGGGCCAUUAGUCCGUAAUACCAAUUGGGACUAAAGGAACCUUUUUCAUCUCCCGCAUAAAAAGUCCCCAUUAGUCCCGGGUGGUAUUACCAACCAGGACUAAAGGCCCCCCUUUAGUCUGACCCUUUGGUCCUGGGUGGUAUCACCAACCGGGACUAAAGGGGGGUAUAAAUAUUUGGGCUUCUUCCUCCUCCCGACUUAGUUGUUUUCAUCGCCUUGUGGCCUCGUCGCCUCCGAAGUCGCCGGGCCACCAGCCUCGAUCUCCUUCGCUUUGGUGCCCCGCGGCUCCCCGGCGGCGCCCUCCCAGCCCAGUGCCCUCCUCCUCUGUCAGCCAUAGACCUAUGGGCCCACCAGAAGACUUGUACGGACCCGCAUCAGGAGAUGUACACCGAAUCAUAUCAAGACAUGGAGACUACGGUACAGGGUGGCGUGGUCUACAUGAACUACCAGGAGACUAGUCAUAGACAAGAAAACUACUCUUCCGAAUUAGAAUAGAACUCAAUAGUCGUAUCCGACUAGUAUUCUUGUAAAACAACUACCCUGUAACCCUGCUCCCCCGAAAUAUAAGGGCGGGCAGGGACACCCUCCAGACAAGUUCAAUCGAAUACAAGCAAAUAACAAACAGGACGAAUGGUAUUACGCGAUCUAGCAGCCCGAUCCUGUCUAAAUCGCAAGCCUACAUACACCUUCGAGCUUCUGAUUUUGGCGACACCCACCAACCAAAAACUCUACCUCGGGUACUCCUUAGGUAGGUUGCCGGGUUAAAACACCGACAGUUGGCGCGCCAGGUAUGGGAAGUCGCCAAAAUUCUCCAGGCGAGUUCGAUGGAUCAAGUCAUCAUCAAGCCUAUGAUAGCGUUCAAAGCCGGCGCGACUUUCAUCUUUGGCUCCUAGGUCUACAUUGCCAAUGGCGAUAGAAGUUUCCACCACUACAUCGUUGAGGCCCUGGAGAAGAAGCAACUCACCCUUCGUCGACAAGCUACGGAGGGUUUUUUUCGAGAAAUUCAACAAAAUUUUCAAUCCGACUAACAGCGAGCUCGAGUACAACUUGGACUCUACAACAACUCAGACUGGCUCUCACGAAUAGGCAAACAAGACAUCGUUCGAAUCAAAUCAAACUCCGAGUCGAUUCCCAUUUGGACUCUGAGACGCGGCUUUGGUCUAUCAAGCAAUUUUAUCCAAGUCACAAUUUGAAUCAAAGACGAUUGAAGACCACAACCCCAAUUUCUACUCAGAUUUCAUUGAAGAAAUCCCUUUAUCAGGUCCGCAGCAGGGCCUGGUGUUUACUUCAACUCCCCAAGGCAGAUUCGUCUACUGGUCAGAUAUGGAGCCAUCUUUCCUCAACCAGAAUGAUGAGUCACGGAUGAUCGCCAACCUUGAGAUCCUACAAUACCAAGAGGGAAUACCCCUGUCACCAAUCUUUGAAGAAGACGACUCUACAGAAGUUAUCACCUCAAGCUAUGACAGCUAUACUCCAGAAAGAGAACUCUUUGCCUUAAUUACAAACGGGGAAGAAGGUGGACAACAUCAACCAAGAACCCCCCACGAGAGCGUCACCCAGAUGAUGUAUUACAAGAUGAAUUAUCUGCCAACAUUGUUGAAGAAACCGAAACCCAAAGGACUCGGCGGAGGGCAAGAAACGCGCAGAGAGUAGAAUGGUGUCUUCAACUAGCCACGCAACUCCCAAUUAUGAACCUUGAUAGGGCAUUUGAGGCAGUGCAAACGCGGCAACACAAUACGCCGCUUGCCGCCAUUGCCUCCAUCGAUCUCGUCACUUGUGCUAUGCCUCAAGACAAAUAUAGUACUCUGAUAGCACAAUUAGCGAAGCACGCCUAUGGACUACUCGACAAAGCAACUCCAAUUCCAUCGGUAUCUCACGCUCCAUCGGAGCGUAGUCAGCAUGGCAGCAGCAGAGACCAUGCAGGACCGCAUCAGGGCAUAAUUUGGGCUUCGAGGCAAAACAAAGAUGUAGUCGAAAGCCCAAGACAGUACAGAGAACCACCUAAGGGUAGUCGAACUGCUUCAAGGGGAGGCGCUCACCACCAUAGAGCUAACCCCAAACCCUCACUCAUCGAUGGUGAUCUCAGGAACAAAAUUAACAGCAACCAUGAUGCACGCAACAUCAUCAACAACCGGUGUCGGGAGCAUGAACUUGAAGAAGACUACAUGGGUGAUGACAAUGAUCACUUUCCCACCUUUACAAGCCGGGUUAGGAGUACAAUCUUACCAGAGAAAUUUAAACCCCUGGGUCUCUCCAAGUACGAUGGAAAAAAGGACCCAGUUCAGUGGCUCCGCUGCUACUCACUGGCAGUCCAGGUUGCAGGGGGGACCGAUGACUCGGAGCUUGGAGCUCUCUCCCUAGAAUUCAGGCCGCGAAUCGCGUCAAGUCUUAGGCUCUAAUCAAUUUCAUGGCAGAGUGGAGAGAAAAUCAACUGCCAACACUAGUAGAGCGCCUAGAGCAUUGCGUCAUGUACUUUGACAAGUCACUCUGGCUCGAAGGCGCUGGCGCAGGAGUACUCUUAAUAUCCCCCAAAGGCGAACAAUUCAAAUACGUUCUCCAAAUUUUCUAGGAGGUAUCCAAUAACGAAGUCGAAUAUGAAGCGCUAAUACAUGAGUUACGCCUAGCAGUAUCCCUCAGGAUCAAGGGAUUGCUGGUUUACGACAACUCGCUAGUAGUCAUCAACCAAGUCAACAAUAAGUGGGAUCGCAACAAAGAGAACAUGGACGCGUAUUGCAAAGAAGUACACAAGUUGGAAAAUAAAUUUUCAGGCCUGGAGUUCCAUCACGUUGUCCGUGACAACAACGUCGCUGCGGACAUCCUAUCCAAGAUGGGUUCAACACGUGCUCAAGUUCUAGUAGGUGUCUCCAUCCAUGAGCUCCGCAAGCCAUCCAUCAUGGAGCAAGCAACCUCAGCAAGCACCAAUCGUGGUCCCAUAGAACCAGAUUGGGAGGUUAUGAUGAUUGAGGCGGAUUGGAGAACACCAUUUAUUGACUAUAUCAAAGAGCACAAACUACCCUCAGACGAAACACAAGCAGAACAAGUCUUACGGCGAAGCAAAGGCAACGUGCUCGUCGGAGACAAGCUAUACAGAAGAGGCGCAUCUUCAGGAGUAGUCAUGAAGUGCGUCAUAGGAGAAGAUGGCAAGAACAUAUUGGAAGAAAUACACAAAGGGAUCUGUGGCAACCACGCAUCUUCAUGCACAAUAGUUGGCAAGGCCUUCAGAGCAGCAUUUUACUAGCCCACCGCAGUAGCCAAGGUAGACACACUAGUCCAUCGAUGCCAAGGUUGUCAGUUCUUUGCAAAGCAACAACAUAUCCCUGCCUACAAGCUCAUCAUGAUACCUCCAACAUGGCCCUUCGCAUGUUGGGGUCUCGACAUGAUCGAACCACUCUCAACUACGCCUAGAGGAUUCAACCUAGUACUCAUAGCCAUCGACAAAUUCACCAGGUGGAUUCAAGUGAAGCCUAUCACCUACCCCAAAGCAAGCAGAGUACUUGACUUCUUCAACUAGAUCAUCCACCGCUAUGGAUCCCCAAACCGGAUCAUCACGGAUUUAGGAUCUAAUUUCAACAACCACGAAUUCUGGGAGUACUGUGAAAACAGCGGAAUUUACAUUCACUAUAUCUUUUUCGCUCAACCAGGAGCUAACGGCCAAGUUGAGUCCACCAACGGGAUGUUACUUGACGCCCUGAAGAAAAGGCUGCGCAACAUUAGCAACACCAAGGGAGGGUAGUGGCUCAAAGAACUACCCAAUGUACUCUAGGGGCUACGUACUGAGGCGUGCAAACCCACGGGGCAGUCACCCUACUUCUUGGUCUAUGGAUCAGAAGCCAUACUCCCCGCUGACGUCACGUGGAAAUCUCCCACAGUCAAACAAUAUGACGAGUGCGUAGCAGAAGAAACAAGGCGUCUAAACAUAGACAGUCUAGAAGAAGCCCGCUGUGCGGCGCUCGUCAAGUCAGCCAGGUACCUUGAAGGACUACGCCGUUAUCAUGAUCGCAAUGUCAAAGAUCGUUCCUUCAACGUCGGUGACAUGGUCCUCAAGCACAUCCAAAACACCACAGGGCUGCACAAACUCAAUUUGCCAUGGGAGGGGCCUUACAUUGUAUCCAAGGUCACAGGCCCAGGAUCCUACAGGCUGCAGCAUGCCUCCGGCGAAGACAUUGAGAACCCGUGGAAGAUCGAGCAUCUCUAUCGUUUCUACCCCUAGUUAGCAGACUACGAGAUAUUGUACAUGGGCCACUGGCAUCAACUUUUCUUUUAUAUACAAUUACUCUUCGGCGGUAGUCAACUACUUGUCCUCACCUCUAUUAGCGGCUCGCAAAGGUGGGUCAGCUGCAACCACGAGCUACUCAGCUCUCUAGACCUCAGCACCCCAGUUACGACUUGUAUACACAAGUCUACCUGAGUUAACAACUCACCAAGCGGCUCGCAAAGGCGGGUCAGCUGCAACCACGAGCUAUUCAGUUCUAUAGGCCUCAGCGCCCUAGUUUCGACUUGUAUACACAAGUCUACUUGAGUUAACAACUCACCAAGCGGCUCGCAAAGGUGGAUCAGCUGCAACCACAAGAUAUUCAGCUCUAUGGGCCUCAGCGCCCUAGUUUCGAAUAGUAUUCACAAGUAUACCUGAGUUAGCCAACUCACCAAGUGGCUCGCAAAGGCGGGUUAGCUGCAACCACGAGCUAUUCAACUCUAGGCCUUAGCGUUCCAGUUUUGACUUGUGUUCACAAGUCUACCUGAGUUAGUCAACUCACUAAGUGGCUCACAAAGGCGGAUCAGGUGCAAACUAUGAGCUAUUCAAUUCUCAAGGCCUUAGCGCCCCAGUACCGACUUGUAGAAACAAGUCUUCUUGAGUUAUUCAACUCACCCAGCGACUCGCAAAGACGGGUCAGCAGCUACCACGAGCCAACCAAUGGUAGAAGAAGCUAACAAGUCAACAAGAAGAGUACACAAACUGCUCGUUUUGACAAUUUAUCUCAUCAUGCAUUUUUUGUAUUAUCGAAUCUUGCAGAAUACACCAAAUACUUCCAUCUCAAGAAGUCAGAAUGUCAAGAGUACAACAAAAGUGCACAACAACGAAUGCAAGCAACUGCCUAUUGGCGGUUACAACAGAAGUCUCAAGCUUUUACAAUAUCACGCUAAGCAUGCCCAGAUAAGCCUGGAAGACUACUCCAACACGAGGAGCAAGAAGCAUCGAAAAGAAGGAAGUGCACACAAGAAAGCUACUCUCUAGGUAGCUGUGCUCUACUCCUCCCCUUGAUGGUGACUCGAAUGAAGAACGGGGCAUACAACACCCUCGUCCUCUCAUCAGCAUCACCUCGGGCCUCCCUUGCACAAAGCCCAAAAUAGAACUACAGGUACACAUCGUGUACUUGAGUCUUGCCCGGAGAAACUAGAGAAAGAGGGGGCAGUCAGAACGACACCACUGUCCUUAACCAGAUAGCUGGAUAAAGACUGGGACGCUCGCCUUUCUCCACCAAAUGAGCUCCAGCAUCGAUUCAUCCAGAGAGCAGGGAAAAAGCUAGGGCACUCGGUGCUUCCUUGUACGAGGAUUCUUCUAACAUCCCAGCCACCAGACUCAUCUCAAAGAUCUAUGGAGGGAAUGUGGAACCUCAAUACAAGGAAUCUUCUAGCACUAGGGUGCUCAUGGGAAGCUCUCCAACAUCAAAAAGAAGAAGCCUAAGGCCAUCUACUUCUAUAACCUGAGCCAUGCUUUUCAAAGUGGAUGAUGGAGCUCUAUGUAUAGCUAGGAAGCUAAGCUACCAUCCAAGGAUUGCAACAAACGCUCCUAUGACUACACAGUACAAAGCUUGCCCACCGCCUGGCACAAAUACAGUACCCACAUGCAAGAAUCAACCAAUCUAAAUAGACACUUACAUGUGAUCUGCCCUGAUUGCAAAAUGACAAGGUACGCAUAGUACCCUCGUGCGUCCUCUCGGAUACACUCACCAUAAUGCAGGCACAAAGGACAAAGGCACAGUACUCUUGUGCGUCCUAUUAGGUACGUUUGUAAUAAUGUAGAGAAAAAGGAUGACUAUUUCCUCUGUGAGGCUACGAGUAGUAAGCUUCCACAGACUACUCACAAACUGCCAUCGCAAGUCAAGUCAGCAAUAAAAUGCUCAAAAUACUAAGAACCAUAAUGGCUGCACCAGUCGGAAACUAUAGUACAAUACAUUAGUUCCUCCAAAAGAUCCUUGUUCAAAGAUACAAAGUUUCAGGAACAGUUACAACUACUAUGAACCUAGAGAACUACUAUAGAUUGAUAAAUUUGGCUACUUCCUUGACUAUGGGAUCCAUUUCCUCCAAGUAUUGGUGAUAAGUUUUGUCCGAGCAAUCCGCAGCAACACCCUCUGCCACUGGAGAUAGGUCUGCCUUGGGAUAAAAAGACUUCACAAAUCCCAGCAGCUGCUUGGACACCGACUUGGCCAUACCCUAGACUAGACUAUUAAUCUUUGUCGGUGCAUCCCUGACCCUAUCCAGCAGGGGACGAGGCUCUACCCCUUCCUCAGGAGGCUCCACCAUGUCAGCCAGAGGUUGUGCCGCUUCAGACCAUUGCUGGAGAGUAGUCAUGGCCCCAACUAGGCCAACAUCACCGUCUUGGCACAUUUUGGAUUCCUUCUUCAGAUCGCGCUCUGUUUUCUCCAGUUGAGGUUUGAGCUCUUCAUGCUCCUCUAUCAACCUAGAGAAGGCAUUCUGCCAGUCAAUGAUUGUGUUCUUCAACACAGUCUCCUGACUUUUCAACUCUACAAAACAAUCAACAGGUAGUCAGAGGACAAACCACAUACAACAGACAACUCAAAGGCUGUGUACACGAGUACUCACCUUCAACUUUAUGAUGUAAAGACUUGUUGCGCGCAACGAUGCGGUUCUUCUAACCUUCAAACUCCCGCCGCACCACCUGGAAUGACGCAACGGCGUUAUCAUAUUGCUCCAAAAACUGAGCAGUCCGCCGACACUCCUCGCUUAUUUCCUUCUCCAGAAGCUCAAUACAAUGCACAACCUCGCUUUGCUCCCGCAGAAGUUGGACAUUUUGGUGAGAUUUCUCAAACAGAUCAUGAGCACAGAAACAUCAGUACUCCUAAUGGAAAACUAGUCACUCAAAUCAAGCAAGAAGGUUACAAGAGCUGAACUCACCUUAGUAUACGCCACAAUACGCUGGUUCAUCUCCAAGAUGGAGGAUAUGGCAUGUGGCUCCAACAGUGGGCUCUAAAAAUCCUCACUCUCCUUCCGCGGCAACGGAUGCUCAGCUGCUGAACUAGUCUUCACGCUGGGUACCAAGCCUAGUUCCCAACUAAACGAUGGCCCCACCUCCAAAGACGUCCUUGCCGCCGCCGCAACAGAUCCAAGGGUCGAGCAGCCUCAAGCUCGAGGGCUUCAGUAUCCGCUGAGUUGCGAGGAAUGGCACCCAAGACAUCCAUUGCAGACGUUUCUUCAAUUAAUACGGCCUCAGGCAGUGGUCUGGGGGCAGUAGUUUGGAGAGCUGCCGGUGCCGCGUCCUGGAGGGAACCAACCAUGUCCUGUAGCAACGUGGCCAUCAAUGACUUAGCGUCUUCUCCCACCACAGGAGCUAACAUCUCCUUAGAUUCAACGAUAGGCGCGGGCGUUGGGUUCGCAGUUAUGUGGUCUUCGUAACCAACUGUUGGGCCUGUGCCUGCCACACUAAGGUCAACACUAGAAGAUGAUCUACACACAAAUCAGAAACAGAGAGCAACUAGUCGAUACAAAUUCAAUUCUCAAAUCACAGUUCCAGAUUAAUCACCUGGUUAACCAACAAGGCACUAGAGGAGCUUUCUUCACCAAGCGCAUUGGCAAGAUAUUAGGAAUUGGCAUACUCUGAGCUCCAGGAUCGUCGCCAAUACCCGCAAAAAUUACUUGGGCAGCGGCAGCCAUGCAAUUGCCACUGGUGCCCAUGCGUUCUCCGCCACUGGAAACUUCGGGCAUAGUAGCAUUAGACACAACCUCUAGCGUUUUGACUGCUUCACUCAUAUCCAUCUUCGUCAAACCAGCCACACCAUCAGCAUUCACCGUUGCCUUCAAAGCCACGUUUGGAGUAGUCACCGCCGGAGCCAUAGUCAUAUCAUCGGGGACCCUGUCUGCCGCAUCAGUCCCCUUGGCGACAUCUGUUUCCGCAUGAACGACCGAAAAGGCGACCAGAGGGGGGGUGAAUGGGAGCCUCCAAAAUUUCUUUUGAAAUCAUAAGCUUCUGUCCCAAAUUCAAACGCCAAAAUUGAAGCGAGCGGAAGACGAGAGAUCCACGAGCCAAUUGGGUGGCUAGGUGUCUAUGGUGAUGACCGAUAACACAGCGGGACUCUGAAGAAACAACUGGAACCAAACUCCAAAGAUCCGGAAAGCAAACUCCAAAGAUAUGAAUCAAAACAGGACUCAAACUGCUCCUGUCGGAAGUUCCAACCCCCUAUUGGAAGUUCCAAUACCUAUCGAAAGUACUGGGGAUCUCCCGACACAAGUUCUCUGUCAUUUCAGCAAUUUUCCCUUCAGAACUUCUGACACAGUGUCAGAACUUCCGACAGCACAGAAAUCAGCCUUCGUGAGGAGAGAAGAAAAAUCCAAAACUCGAUCCUACAAUCUCCAAAAAUCAUGAAAUUUUAACCAUAGUUUCCCAACAACAUAACAAACAUGUUCCCAAAAGAUCUCCUCAAAAAGAUCAGCCAAUCAAAGGGAAUUAAAUAUCUUGUGAGAAAUGCCGAUUUUUCAACCCUAGAACUUGAAUCGCCCCGAUCUAUGAACUCGUGCGGUUUCAAUCAAAUCCCUUUGGUGGAAAGGUUCAACUCACAUCUUAGUUCAUCUCCAAACAAUCGGUUUGACUCCAAACACCCCAGAAAUCACGAAUCAAAUAAAAACGUGAAAGGGGUGAGAGGGAAGAAACAAAGAACGCGAAGAACACAAACGCGAAUCGCAAAUCCAACCGGGAUGGCACAAGAUGGCACAAAAUAGAUCAUUGGAUUACUUCACCAUGUCCGGUUACAAGCCACUCCUUAGCACAAUCAAAGGUAGGAUGGCAAAAAGAUCAAACAAAGAUCCCUCCUCUCUCUCUCCCUCUCUCCCUCAAAGGCUCUCACAAGCAAAUGAGAAAACCCCCACCUAUCUAGCCCAAAGAGAUGGCUGCCCAACAGCCCUCUCCUCAAUUAUAUAGGCACUUGGCUAUUUGCCAAGUCGCCCUUACAUGAAGCAUACAACUCCAAACCCCCUAGGGGCAAAACCGUCCAGCUUUUUCUUCGUUCAUUGGAUGGACCCGGCGCCUUUACGACUUAGCUUCGCCUCGACGCAAGCUUCGUGAUGGUGCCACGCGUCCUUCGACUUGCCGCCGUCCGGCCGCACCAGACUCACCCCCGGUUUUGAGGUCAAACCAGUCAAGCCCUCUUGCACGCCCUGCAAGGCGUGACUCACCGAUGUCGACGCGUGUCCAACCUCCGCCAAGCCUUCGACGCCUCCAAGUCUUUCGCUCCCGGCUCCCAGGCCGCCUACUCGACUUGCCUCCAUCCUGCUUGACUCGACCAACACCGUCUCCGUCACCGCCCAUGUUCUCUUGCUCUUCCGAGCACCAUGUGGAUCGCCCAUGACUUCGCCCGAACUCCUCGGGUCCUUCGGUCCAAGCCUACUCGUGUCCACCCUUCACUGCCCUAGUUCAUCGGCAUGGACCUUUCGCGCUUGACCUUCACCUCAUGCCGUCGACCGCCACAUCAUAUCCUACACUUGCACAUCAGAAGCCAAGAGACACAACACACAACAUAUAGUUUACAUAAACACCACAACACAACGCACUCAACACAACACAUCCGGUUACCCGUUAGCAUAAUCAUGCACAUAUGAGAUAUGGACUCAACCGGUAAAGCCUCAAAUCAUCUAGUCAAUCACUCAUCACAAAUAGACCAAGGCACUUCACAACUUGGUCUCUCAAUCUCCCCCUUGAUAAGUGCAUUGACAAAAGAUGAUUUGAAAGCAAAAGAAAAAACUCAUUCAAGUGCCCAAAAGCCAAGUAAAAGCAAACACAAGGCAACUUGAUAUGAGAAAGGAUUAUGCAAGCUCCAAACAAAAAUUCUAGGUUGCAUCAAAGUCAUUUCUCAAUCUCCCCCUUGAUAAAUCCCACAAGACAACCAAAGAGUCAAGCAAAAGACACAAGAGCUUCAUGAAUCCUAAAAUGCCAUCAAAGCCAUUUCAACAUUUGUUCUAGGUUGCAUAAAAGUCAUUUCUCAAUCUCCCCCUUGAUAAAUCCCACAAGACAACAAAAGAGUCAAGCAAAAGACACAAGAGCUUCAUGAAUCCCAAAAUGCCGUCAAAGCCAUUUCAACAUUUGUUAAACGCUCAUCACUAUAAAAUCGAGGUUCAUAUCAACUUGAUUUUCUCAAUCUCCCCCUUGAUGAGUGUGUUGACAACAUUCAAGCACAAAGAAAUGGCUUGAGAGGUAAAAGCUGAAAAUCUCAUCCAAGUGAUCAAAAACCAAGUAAAGGCAAGGAUUAAAGUCACUAGGCAUGAGAAGAGCCAUAAAAGCCAGUACCAAAGUCAUUGGAAACUCGAAAUGAACAAUCUCAGUCCCCUAAGUUAAGGGCAACGGCUCUACACGACUGAGAUAAAAUCAUGUGAUCCCUCAAGAAGAGGUAGAAAACGGGCUCAACACUAAUCACAUGAAAAUUUAAACUCAAAUCAAAACCGGCUCCUCAAGAAGAGGUAAAUAGCUCAACGCGACCGGCACAAGAGCACAAGAGCAUAUACAAACUCACAAUUACUCUAAUCAAAUACUGGCUCCUCAAGAAGAGGUAAAGAAGCUCAACGGGACCGGCAAGAGCACAAGAGCAAGAAAACUCACAAGAACUAGACUCCCCCUGAACAAAUGCACUCCCCCUGAAAUAAUGCACUCUCCCUGAAAUCAAAGCAUGUAAAGGCUCUCCCACUUGACAAAUGAAUGAGUUUGUAUGAAUUUCUCCCAAUUUCUACCCCUUGUUGGCAAUGCAAACAUCAAGUCAAGCAUAAGAACACAAAAUGCAUGUAAGGAGAUGCAGAACCUACCAAGCUUCUCAAACAUACCACAAAGUACUCUCAAAGGGUACAAGAUAGAUAAGCUUGGUGGAUUAUAAGGAGCAAUAGCAUCGCCAGCAAGAUGAAUUUAUGUUAUAGCAAGGAGGUGAAGCAAAUAUCCAGUUUUAGCAUUGUUCAAAAAGAUCACCACAUGAGCAAAUACCUAGUCAAGAAAUACCCAAGCAAGGAGGACUAGGCCAUCAGAAUCUCAUUCAAGGAACAAAUACUCUUAACAAAAGAUCAUUGCAGACACCCACAACACAUCACUUGUCAUGUGAAGCUUGUUGAAACCAAUUGCCUACUUCCUUUGGUAGACAUCUUGUAACAACUAAGCAAACCAGAAUAUGAACAUGAAGCAUGAAUACUUGGUGAAAUUUGUGAAUUUAUUAUCUUUAUCAUUUUUCUUUUCAUUAUUCACACAAGAUAAAGUACAUGAAGUGCCUUUGCGGCACAAAGAAGUCAUGCUUCCCCAAGGGAUGCAUCAUGGGCUAAACAUCUGCAAUGAUACCUAGAUCUUUGACCCGAUUGAAAAGAACAUGAAUUACAACUAUAAGCUAAAAAUGGAACCAGCAUUGAAACAAGGGCAAACCAUAACUAAGCAUCUACUCAAGGGUGAUAAGCAAGUUCAUAGAGUAGAAUAUUAGCAUGGGAUUUCAAAAACAGUUAUCUCAACAGGUGUACAAUAUCAUCAAGAGCAUAACUGCACAUUGCAUCAAUCAUAACCAACCAAGGCAUUAGCUCACAAGCAGCAUAAGAUAGUAUUCAGGGCAUAUAAGAGAAGCUCAUCUAGUGUAACAUGAGACAAAAUGCAUUAUGAUACAGAUGCAAUGUAAUGCUAAAAGAGAUAGGGCUCGGCUCAAAAACAAGAAAGCUCAUGAGAGUCAAACCAAUCUAGGAAAAAAAACUCCGUGGGAAAAGAAGAACUACCAAUGAUCCCAAUUCAGUACAAUAGAGGGGAUACCAAUUGAAGAAUCAAAAAUUUUCAUCACUUGAUACCAAUUGAAGAAGAUGGAAUCCAAUUGAGAGAUCAAAUGUGAUACCAAUUAAAAGAUCAAAAGCGGAUAUCCAAAACCAAAGCAAGUCUUGGUCCAAACUCCCCUUUGAAUGAAGCCGAACUCCCCCUCAACUAAAGACACCUAGCAAACAAAAACUAGGAAAAGAAAGGGGCAAAAGAAAAGCUCUAACACCAAUUAAAACUAAGAGAAAAUUCAAAGAUUGAACAAAUGCAACCCAAAGACAAGGCAAACCCAAAAAUAAGAUGAAGCUCAAAUCAUGUCACACAAUGCAAUGAUGUUAUCAAUUGUGAGGAAUUAAAGCAUUGCAACAUGAUUCCAUAUUUAUGAAUAAAAGUUUGGGCAAAGCAAACAUGUCAACAAGGUGCAAAGGAUUAUACAAAUAUACUAAGCUAAAAUGAUACCAAAUGAACAACAUGUCAUACCCAAUACAAGAACUAAGCUAAGGCAUGGCACGAUGUUCAUGUGGAUCAUCCACCAAAAUAUAUCACAAAGCUAGCAUGACAAGAUAUACAUGAAGAUCAUACAAGCCAACAUGAAAAGGUAGCUAGCCUACCAUGGUUUAUUAACAGCAUGAUACAUGUGUAAACAUGCAAUAGUAUACAAGUGAGCACAAGAAUGUGGAAGGAAAAAAAACUCAGUAUACAAGUGUACAAAGGCCUCUUGAGGGCGAUCCAGACGGUGUGAAGAACCAUCAAGUCUUGAUCACCUCAAGCAAAAGAUCAAGUCACUUCGAGCUCAUGUUCUCCACCCGUAUCCCCGUACCUACACAUGAGGGGACAAAGAAGACCGAGUCUUGGAUCCCAAAGGGUUAGCAAGCAUAUACUUGGGAAUCCAAAACUUAGUCACACGGGUAAAAGAUGCACUCAACUUAUCUUGUGGGUUAGCAUGAUGCAAAUGCCGGUUCAAAUGAUAAGGUUUUGAAACACCCUUGGAAACAUGCCUCAAAGGAGCAACUCGAGAAGAAGAACGAGUACUACCACUAGCAAAAAGGCAAUGAUCCCCUAAGGUCUUAAGAGAAGAACCAACACAAGCACCAUACGAACCAUGUAGUGGACCAACAUAGGAAGAACUAGAAGCAUGUCCACGUGCAUGAGCUAACUUACUAGAAAAGGAGUCAUAAAACCCAUCAAUGAAAUGUGGCUUCUUACUAGGCUCACAAGUGUUCAUGCCAUGAACAGGGCUAUGAACAACCAAAGGUCUAGAAGCAUGACCUCACCGCAUUUGUCUUGCACGGCAAUAACAAAAACUCUCUUGAUGCCCAUCUUUCUCACAAUGAGAGCAAUGGUACAAAGGCCUUUUUGGAGGCACGAUCCGAGAGGACGAAUCACCAUUCUCAUCCAAGUGAGAAGUCCCUUGGGACUUAGUGCAAGAAGCAUCAACAUCCACCUUGGUGCCUAAUUUAGGACCACACGUGCCAUGGGAAAGGCUACGUGGCUUCCUAAAAGCUUUGGCACGCACACAUCGCUCAUGCUUGACAUGACGAAAGCAAAACUCAACGGUAUGCCCAUCUUUCUUGCAAAAUGUGCAAUGAAACUUCGGUUUGGAAAUAUGAGUUCCAAAAAUGCAAGAAGCACCCUUGCAACUUGAAUUGUCUUGGGCAAUACCGGAAGAAGCAACAAGCUUAGGAGUAGCUAUAGAAGAGAUAUCCAAAGCACUAGCACAAGUGCUAUCAUCCAAAGACCCACACUCAACACAAGAAGCAAACUCCGGUUGAGAAGAACCAAUUUUGGAAACACCAACAUCGAAGUGACAAGAAUUGCGAGAAUCAAAAGACUUAGCACUAAGACUCUUGCAUCUUGUGGUCAAAACCUCAUUUUCAAAUUUGAGGCGAUCUCAAGUACCACAUGGAGCAUUUCUCAAAUUAUCCAUCUCCUUUCCAAUACACUUAGCAUAUGUAGUAUGCAAGAGUUCAUUUUUCUUUCUCAAGGUUGGCACUGAUCUCAUUAUGCUCAACCAACUUGGCGCUCAUAUCAUCGCGCAUUUGUUUCAAAGCCAAAACAUCAUUUUCCAACUCAAAGCAUGACGUGAAAAUAAGACCGCAUGAACAAUCAUCAUCAUUCACAUCAAGCACAAUAUCAUGAUUAUCACAAGAAGUAAGGCAGGCAUCAUCAUCAAGCACCAAAAAGCACAUACUACAAGGCAUAGACUUCAUUUCACAAAUUUCAGCCCUAGCAUGCUCAAGUUCAUCUACACAUGUGGUGUGAGUCAAUUUUAGUUCAUUAAUUUUAGCAAGCUGAUCCAUCACCUCCAGAAAAGACUGUACCUAAAUAGCCCUUUGAGUUAGGCAAGCCUCUAGUCAGGCCUGAAUUGUUACGGAAGCUCCCAACUAAAAUGUAUGAAUUCCAUAAUUGGUACAUGGAGCAGUCGGCCAAUGAAAAGACCAUGUUCGGUCUUCUUGUUAGACCGGUUGAUUUUUUUUGUGAUGGCGAGAAAGUGCUAUGGUUGGAAUUCAAGGAUAUUUAUGAAGUGUACCAACAAGAUGCCCUUGAUGUUUCUCUUAUUAGCACCUUGGUUCUGUAAGUGUGUGUUUAUUAGAUGUUAAUUUGGGGUGUAUGUGUGUGUCAUCCCACUAACUUUGUCUUUCAUUUUAUGUAGGAUGCAAAUUCAGAGGUACCGCCGAGAAUGCUACUUCACCGUUGGCUUCCUGUACCCAUCGGUUGUUAACCAACAGCAGAUACGGGAUCAACCAGAGAAGACAUUGAACGCAAUAUACAGUUUCUUGGACCAGCAGAAUUACAAGUCAAGCAUACUACAACCUUACAACUUUAAGUAACUGUGGGUACCGUAUAUUUUUGUUUUCCUUUCCUAACCUAAUUAAUGUUAGUUAGCUCAAAUAUGAACAUUUAUCUUCAAAGUUACCACCGGAUUCUCUUUAUAAUUCGGAUUGACAAAAGCAACGUUCUUGUUUUUGAUUCAUUGAGGAAAGACAAGGACGAGUACCAAGAAAUUCAAGGCAUGCUUAACUUGUAAUAAUUCUGCACCUUUAUCUAUAUGCAAAAGUUUGUUUCCUAAAAUUUCACCCAACACUAUAUCAUUCAUUAUUUUAAUUCGUAGGGCAUGGAAACGAUUAUGUAAGCAUCUCUGUGGUGAAUUCAAAGAACAACUUACAUUUAGUAAAAAUUUUCCAGUAUGUAUGAAGUUUGCAUAUUUUGUAUAUUCUAUAACACAAAUAUUUCAUAACCUUUAUUUCCAUUAUAGUGCUUGAGAACCAGGGAAUAAUUUAUAUGGGUACUACGUCUGUGAGCACAUACACCGUUUCGUGAGGGACAAGGUGCUACCGUCCGAUCUAAAUGUAUGUAAAAUAAACAUAUUAACAAUUAAUCAUUUUCUAGCUCCUUAUAUUUAAUUGUCGGUGUAACAUUCACAAAUUUAUAAAUUACAGAUGUGGCAGAUUGCCGAAGAAGUCUUGGAGAAGGAUAGGCUUCAGGCAGUCCAAGAAGGUCUCAUAGGAUUUCUGGUGGACGAGGUGAUAAAUCCCCACGUAGAAUUUCAUUACAAUGGACAUUCAGUAGCCGAACCGAACAGCUCCUUGGCGGGACGAUCCUAAGAACAAAGAGAGGACAAAUUAUUGUAUAUAUAAUAAUUGUAUAAAUACUAGUUUGAUGUGUAUAAAGUACUAAGAAUUGUAUAUAUAUUAGUUAUAUCAUGCAUAUACUAUCAUGGAAUAUAUAUACGACAUGCAUACAAUACGAGCGUAUAUAUACGUAUAGGUAUAUACAUAAGUGGAGCAACAAUUAGCAUUUAUAUGGAAAAGAAUUCAAGGUAAAAAGAAAAAGGGUCUUUAGUCCCGAUUGGUAUGCGUGCGCAUGCAUGGCAGCCCCUUUAGUCCCGGUUGGUAACACCAACCGGGACUAAAGAUGGUCUUUACCUGAAACUAGGGGGGGGGGAUUUAGUCCCGAAAAUAUAGUCCCGGUUGGAUAUUCGAGAUCUAUGUCUCUAUCCAAUCGAGACAAAUGCUGGGUUUUUUACCAGUGAGAUUUGAUGAGGUAAACACAGAACUACUUUCUUGCCUGGCAGCAUUCAGUCCACUUGAUUCUUUCGCUGCUUAUAAUCAACAGAAAUUGGUUAGGCUUGCUCAAUUUUAUGCUAAGGAUUUCACAACUUAUGAGUUGUCAAAACUACCAUGGCAAUUAUCAAUUUACAUUUCUAGUGUGCGUAGGGAUGGAAGGUUUAAAAAUUUGAAGAAUCUAUAUGAGCUUUCGGUUAUGCUGGUAAAGACAACAAAGCAUGAAGUAUAUGAUAUUGUUUACAAGCUCCUUAAGUUUGUGCAAAUCCUUCCAGUAGCCACUACUAGUGUUGAAAGGGUUUUUUCCGCAAUGAAUUUUGUGAAGAAUAAGCAAAGAACCAAAAUGGGUGAUGAAUAUUUGAACAAUUGUUUGGUUACAUUUAUUGAGAGGGGAUUCUUCAAGCAAGUGAAGAAUGAGGAUAUCUAGUCUCUUCCAGCAAGGGGACCGUAAAGUCAUAUUGUAAAUUUCCUUCCUAUUUUGUAAUAUUUCUUAACUAUUAGAGAGAUAUUUCUACUAUGUCAAUUUGUCAUCUAUUUGUACUUUGGUUGUUACAAUGGAAUAUGGUCAUUGCUGCUCUCUUUGGUUAUUAUUAUGGCUACAAUUUGUCUUACAAUGAAUACCAAGGUGCAAAUUCUUGGCUAUGCCACUGGAUCCCAGUUCCCAUGGUAGCCGUUGAUAAUCGUGCGAGAUGAAUGCAUGUAGGCGCGCUAGUUCGUACUUCCCUUCUCCGUGUCCGCUACUCCAUGUCGAUCGGAUGUCAUCCGGCGAUAUAGGUCACCGUUGGGGACUCUUUGUAUACUCUGUGCUACUUAUCAUGGUGUCGCUGUUAUGCGACGAGAGAAAAAAAAAACUAAUGCACUUUCACUUAGAGUUGUAAACUCACUCUGCGGUGCCCUUUUCAACUAAGUCAGCGGUACAUAUUCUCUAUGUUUGUUGUGCUAUUUGUCUUGGUGUCACUGUUAUGUCUAGAAGAUUUCAAUUGUUGAAUGUAGUUGUGCCUAGUUGCAUUUCAUGCAUAAUUUGCCGUAAUAUAGGAUAUUUGUUAGAUCUAUUGACGCUAAUAGUUAGCUGCUAACUAUUAGUUGGUGGAGUUUGGAUCCACCUUCUAAUAGGUAGUUGGAUAUUUUUUUUUCACAAUUAGAGCAACUCUAGCAAUAGUUCUUAAAUUAAAGCCUCCAAAGAUCAAAUAAGAGUUCUCUCUAUUUUUUGAGGGUACAAAAAUACCUCCAACUCUAGAAAUAGUAACCCUAGAUAGAGGGCUGCCUAGAGGCCUAGGUGAAGGGGAGAUUUAGAGGCCGUCCAGUGAAGCGGAGUAUGUUUUCACCUAGAAAACCACCAAGCCAUGCACGAAACACCACGACAAACACCUUCGAAAAGGGAAACAACAUCAAGAACAUUGUCGUCGCCAACGCCUGCACAAGCCUAGCAAGGCUUUCAUCAGGUGCUCAUGCAUGCAAGUGGGUGCUCAAACCUAAGAGCAAGCCACGAGUAGUAGCGUCAAGGAAGUUCUGCUCGACGCCUGCUGCUAGGCACCUCAGGCCAAGGUGCCUAGCUCACCGCCACCCGUUGCGGCCACCAAGGAGGGGAACUCGCACCAGGCUAGCGCUUUGGUCGUGGGUGCGCUCGGAAGGGGCGGAUCCAGCCCAGCCUAGGCCAAAUGCCCAAAUCCAGCCACCUGAGGCGCUAAGAGGGUAAAUCCCUGAGGCGCGUGGCCGCAAAGGAAACAAUUGCCCAUAGAUCACAUCAUCAAUACAGCUUAGCCUAACCUGAGCACUACCGCAUCCAUGGAUAGUAGCCCGAGAUCUAGAUUUGCGAAGUGAAAGAUGAAGAGGUGAAGAGAGAUGGGAGAGAGAAAAGAGGAGGGAAGGUAGCAAGAGAGGGAAGGGCCGCAGGUUCGGCAGCGAUGGCAGCUAGCUGGGCUGCUGCAUGGGGGUGAGCUUCUAGUGGCGGGUUGUGAAAUGAAUCGGAUUCUUAUUUUCGAGAAUCCGACUCCCUUGUGAUAGUCACAAGACACAUUGUUUAUCACGUACAAACUCAUCUCAGCACAAUAUCAUUUUCAUACAACGAAAAUAUCUGAAUUGAAACAAUAAGAUCAUGGUGACUUCGUCAAUCUCUCGAGAUCUGUCAGUUCAGUCUCUCGAAGGUGCUCAUAGAGAUAAGUUUGCUUGUAUGUAUUAAUAGAGGUGACUAUACAUACUACAUGUAAACGUCUAUAUCUGUGUACCGUGUUUAAAAAAGGGAAAAUAACAAGGUUUAUCUAAAAUGAAACAGCCCAAUGUUUGCAUUAUACAUCGAUAGUAUUCACUCCUUGAUAUAAUAGAACAUAAAUAGG